UAGGGAAUCUUCGGCAAUGGGGGCAACCCUGACCGAGCAACGCCGCGUGAGUGAAGAAGGUUUUCGGAUCGUAAAGCUCUGUUGUAAGUCAAGAACGGGUGUGAGAGUGGAAAGUUCACACUGUGACGGUAGCUUACCAGAAAGGGACGGCUAACUACGUGCCAGCAGCCGCGGUAAUACGUAGGUCCCGAGCGUUGUCCGGAUUUAUUGGGCGUAAAGCGAGCGCAGGCGGUUUGAUAAGUCUGAAGUUAAAGGCUGUGGCUCAACCAUAGUUCGCUUUGGAAACUGUCAAACUUGAGUGCAGAAGGGGAGAGUGGAAUUCCAUGUGUAGCGGUGAAAUGCGUAGAUAUAUGGAGGAACACCGGUGGCGAAAGCGGCUCUCUGGUCUGUAACUGACGCUGAGGCUCGAAAGCGUGGGGAGCGAACAGGAUUAGAUACCCUGGUA
rnacentral:rRNA from 1 species